rnacentral:rRNA from 1 species
UACGUAGGGUGCAAGCGUUGUCCGGAAUUAUUGGGCGUAAAGGGCUCGUAGGCGGUCCAUCGCGUCGGGAGUGAAAAGCUGGGGCUUAACCCCAGUCCUGCUUCCGAUACGGGUGGACUAGAGGUAGGUAGGGGAGAACGGAAUUCCUGGUGUAGCGGUGAAAUGCGCAGAUAUCAGGAGGAACACCGGUGGCGAAGGCGGCUACCUGGACCGGUUCUGACGCUGAUGCGCGAAAGCGUGGGUAGCAAACAGG